rfam:Rattus norvegicus chromosome 20, whole genome shotgun sequence.
GGGGAUGUAGCUCAGUGGUUAGAGCGCUUGCCUAGGAAGCGCAAGGCCCUGGGUUCGGUCCCCAGCUCCG